GCCCGCCUAGCUCAAUCGGAUAGAGCGUGAGACUUUUACGACCUAGUGUCCUGUUUAAUCUCAAGGCUGCGGGUUCGACCCCCGCGGUGGGCU